rnacentral:rRNA from 1 species
AGUGAACGCUGGCGGUAGGCCUAACACAUGCAAGUCGAACGGCCGCACAGUAAGAGCUUGCUCUUACGGUUGGCGAGUGGCGGACGGGUAAGGAAUACAUCGGAAUCUACUUUUUCGUGGGGGAUAACGUAGGGACACUUACGCUAAUACCGCAUACGACCUACGGGUGAAAUCAGGAGAUCUUCGGACCUUGCGCGAUUGAAUGAGACGAUGUCGGAUUAGCUAGUUGGCGGGGUAAAGGCCCACCAAGGCGACGAUCCGUAGCUGGUCUGAGAGGAUGAUCAGCCACACUGGAACUGAGACACGGUCCAGACUCCUACGGGAGGCAGCAGUGGGGAAUAUUGGACAAUGGGCGCAAGCCUGAUCCAGCCAUACCGCGUGGGUGAAGAAGGCCUUCGGGUUGUAAAGCCCUUUUAUUGGGAAAGAAAAGCAGCAGGUGAAUACCCCGCUGUUCUGACGGUACCCAAAGAAUAAGCACCGGCUAACUUCGUG